AACAGAACUUACAAACACAGCACGUAACAUGAUCAGAUAAAGUUUGUUAAUUAAAUGAGAUUUUUCAUUUCAGUUAAAACUUUCACAAAGCUUCUGCAGUAGGCUACAGACUGUAAUAUCUCCUGUGUGCCUUUUAGAUCAUGAACAUACACUGAUAUAGAGCAUGAAUACAGUAGGUUGUAGCUUCGCAAUGAAAUACUACUACUACUACUACUACUACUAAUAAUAAUAAUAAUAAUAAUAAUAAUUUUAAAUAAUUCAUUAAUAAUAAUAGCUUUAUUAUUUUUCCUUUUGAUAUAUUUUAUUAAUGCUUGUUAUCAACAAUUAUGAACCUGUGCACACGUCAUAUCCGUCGUGUUUAUUUAUGUUUAAACUGCCUCUAUUAUGAUGCCGCGUUCCAUCGAAUCAUUUUAAAUCCAAACACAACACUGAGCUGAACGGAGCAACAUUGAAUAUCUGCACUAAAAUAAAGAGAUUUUAGAAGAAAACUCCAUGGAUUUCCGCGCUCCUCCCGACCAAACUCAGUCAGCUCACGGCUCCUUCAUCUCCCAGUCUGACGUACUGAACAGUGCUGCAACUAAACAGAUUUAAACACACACCAAUAACACAAGUCUGCUGUUCCUGCACCAGCUCGGAAGCCGCUGACUAUCUACAUGUUGGAGUCAGCUGAUCUGGACGAACAGAUCAGGAUGCUGCGUCGAGCAGAUUGCUGCUGUGCUUCAGGCGAGGGAAGCUGGCCAGGAUGUGCAUUUUCCUUCACUCAAGAAGAAGAAGAGGACGAGGAGAAAGAAGAACAUCUAAUAUUUUCAAUAAACUGUAUAUAUUGUAA